AUUGAACGCUGGCGGCAGGCUUAAUACAUGCAAGUCGAGCGGGGUGAUGGUGCUUGCACUAUCACUUAGCGGCGGACGGGUGAGUAAUGCUUAGGAAUCUGCCUAUUAGUGGGGGACAACAUCCCGAAAGGGAUGCUAAUACCGCAUACGUCCUACGGGAGAAAGCAGGGGAUCACUUGUGACCUUGCGCUAAUAGAUGAGCCUAAGUCGGAUUAGCUAGUUGGUGGGGUAAAGGCCUACCAAGGCGACGAUCUGUAGCGGGGCUGAGAGGGUGGUCCGCCACACUGGGACUGAGAAACGGCCCAGACUCCUACGGGAGGCAGCAGUGGGGAAUAUUGCGCAAUGGGGGGAACCCUGAUCCAGCCAUGCCGCGUGUGGGAAGAAGGCCUUAUGGUUGUAAAGCACUUUAAGCGAGGAGGAGGCUCUUUUGGUUAAUACCCAGGAUGAGUGGACGUUACUCGCAGAAUAAGCACCGGCUAACUCCGUGCCAGCCGCCGCGGUAA
rnacentral:rRNA from 1 species